AUACUGCUUAGUGUUCUUUGUUACUUCAGCUUUUGUACGUUCUAAAUAUCUGCUGUCAUUAAUUGCCACAGAAGUUAAACCCUACCCAAUGGAAUGACGUUAACCAACGACUUUGGUGCAGAGUUAGCAACUGGAUAAUAUCAAAGCUAAAAUAAUGGCCGUCAUUCACACAUGUUACAGUAGAAGAUACUCUAGAACUGUACGAGGUUAAAAAGGUAACAUGUAGUUUGUCCCAAGGUGUCUGCCUCCUCACCCAGAGCAAGACCUCCACCUCCUCACCCAGAGCCAGACCUCCACCUCCUGUCAGAAGUCCUCCAGAACAGCUGAAAGGCGAGGCUGGGGACCGGAGGCUUGUGGUGCCAGGAUGGACCAGAGACUGAGGCUGGAGACCAGGGGCCUGCAGCAACGGACCAGAGGGUAACCAUCACCAAGCUCAUUUGAAACGCUAAAAUCCACGGUAGUUUAGGUCUGGUUUUGAUCAUCUUAUGACUUUGAAUCUGUGCCAGGCUGUGUUUUGAGUUAAUUCAUACGGGGGUUAUUAAAGAGUCAUUUGAGCCAUGAAUGUUACUAGUGCUGCUACGACCAUAGUGGAUGAAUUGCUGAACGCGACAAUCUGCAGACGUUGUCUAAUUUAAGUGUUUAAAUUUGUCUUCCAUUUUACAAGUGAACCUCAGAUGCAGGAGGUGGGGUGUGAUGCGUCCCCAGGUGAUUUACUGCUGAGACCAACUGUUUGUAACCAGACCAGGAAUCCAUGGCUGAAGGAGCUGAUGGAGGAGCCGUGCUGAAGGAGCUGAUGGAGGAGUCGUGCUGAAGGCCCUGCCUUGUGGAGGAGCUGGUGGAGGACCUGCCUGGUGAA
rnacentral:lncRNA from 1 species